CCUACGGGAGGCAGCAGUGAGGAAUAUUGGUCAAUGGGCGAGAGCCUGAACCAGCCAAGUCGCGUGAGGGAGUACUGCCCUAUGGGUUGUAAACCUCUUUUGUCGGGGAGCAAAAGCCGGACGUGUCCGGCUGUGAGAGUACCCGAAGAAAAAGCAUCGGCUAACUCCGUGCCAGCAGCCGCGGUAAUUCGGAGGAUGCGAGCGUUAUCCGGAUUUAUUGGGGUUAAAGGGUGCGCAGGCGGAUUUUUAAGUCAGCGGUCAAAUCGUGGGGCUCAACCCCAUCCAGCCGUUGAAACUGGGGAUCUAGAGUGUGCGAGAGGUAUGCGGAAUGCGUGGUGUAGCGGUGAAAUGCAUAGAUAUCACGCAGAACCCCGAUUGCGAAGGCAGCAUACCGGUGCACAACUGACGCUCAGGCACGAAAGCGUGGGUAUCGAACAGGAUUAGAUACCCGGGUAGUC
rnacentral:rRNA from 1 species